rnacentral:tRNA from 1 species
GCGGAUAUGGCGGAAUCGGCAGACGCGCCAGAUUCAGGUUCUGGUCGGAGCAAUCCGGUGGAGGUUCAAGUCCUCUUAUCCGCA